GGUACCCUAUGAAUCUAGUGGAAUCACUUCUGCACAAACUUGACUACUGAAAUCAGUGUGCGGAAAUGCUUCUGCUACAUUUUUAGGGUCUC
ensembl:miRNA